UACAGAGGUCUCAAGCGUUGUUCGGAUUCAUUGGGCGUAAAGGGUGCGUAGGCGGCGCGGUAAGUUGGGUGUGAAAUUUCGAGGCUUAACUUCGAAACUGCAUUCGAUACUGCCGUGCUUGAGGACUGGAGAGGAGACUGGAAUUUACGGUGUAGCGGUGAAAUGCGUAGAUAUCGUAAGGAAGACCAGUGGCGAAGGCGGGUCUCUGGACAGUUCCUGACGCUGAGGCACGAAGGCCAGGGGAGCAAACGGG
rnacentral:rRNA from 1 species